GGCUGACUGCCACUGGAGAAGGAUCUUUUUCUAGAGAUUGCUCCUCUGGGAGUUUUUCCUGCAAGCUCGUAAUAUGGAAGGGGUGGAGCCACCCUGUGAUCAUGUAAGUGCUAGCCAUUGGUUGGAGAGCUUCUUUUGGACCUGGGCUAAUUCCUGAAAGGCUUUGCUGCAUAACCAGAGAUCCCCUUCAGCAGUUUGGUUUCUUAUAUGCUUGGUGGAAGAGGCAGUAAACCUGCUGGCUGGCAGAAGAGGGUACAAUGAGGCUACUUAAUGGAUUUUUAGGCUUGAUCCAGUUUAUGAAGAGAUCUAGUGCUCAGCUGUUUCAUCUCCUUAGUUACCAGUUCUUCUCAUAGAUGAGAACAACACUAGAGAUAAAGAGAAUGGAGUGAAAAACAGUAAAGAG
ensembl:lncRNA